rnacentral:lncRNA from 10 species
CCAGAAAGUUUAAGUAACUUGCUCAAGGCCAGGCAUGAUGGCUCAUGCUUGUAAUCCCAGCACUUUGGGAGGCCGAGGCGGGCGGAUCAUCUGAUGUCAGGAGUUCGAGACCAGCCUGACCAACACGGUGAAACCCUUUCUCUACUAAAACUACAAAAAUUAGCCAGGCAUGGUGGCACAUGCCUGUAAUCUCAGCUACUCAGGAGGCUGAGGCAGGAGAAUCGCUUGAACCCAGGAGGCGGAGGUUGCAGUGAGCCGAGGUCGUGUCACUGCACU